UAAGCCGAGAGGUGAAACGGGUAUCCGCUAGAAGAGGAGCUCGCGUCCGAUUAGUUAGUUGGUGGGGUAAAAGCCUACCAAGGCAGCGAUCGGUAGCUGGUCUGAGAGGAUGAGCAGCCACACUGGGACUGAGACACGGCCCAGACUCCUACGGGAGGCAGCAGUGGGGAAUUUUCCGAAAUGGGCGAAAGCCUGACGGAGCAACGCCGCGUGUGGGAAGAAGGCUCUUGGGCUGUCAACCACUUUUCUCAGGGAAGAAGAGCUGACGGUACCUGAGGAAUCAGCCUCGGCUAACUCCGUGCCAGCAGCGCGCGGUAAUACGGGAGGAGGCAAGCGUUAUCCGGAAUUAUUGGGCGUAAAGCGUCCGCAGGGGGCGCAUCAAGUCUGCUGUUAAAGGUCGGAGCUAAACUCCGGUAGAGCAGUGGAAACUGGUGCGCUAGAGGGCGACAGGGGUAGAGGGAAUUCCCAGUGUAGCGGUGAAAUGCGUAGAGAUUGGGAAGAACACCGGUGGCGAAAGCGCUCUACUGGGUCGCACCUGACCCUCAGGGACGAAAGCUAAGGUAGCGAAAGGGAUUAGAUACCCCUGUAGUCUUAGCCGUAAACGAUGGAUACUAGGCGUGGUUUGUAUCGACCCAAGCCGUGCCGAAGCUAACGCGUUAAGUAUCCCGCCUGGGGAGUACGCACGCAAGUGUGAAACUCAAAGGAAUUGACGGGGGCCCGCACAAGCGGUGGAGGAUGUGGUUUAAUUCGAUGCAACGCGAAGAACCUUACCAGGGCUUGACAUCCCGCGAAGUUUGGGGAAACUCAGACGUGCCUACGGGAACGCGGAGACAGGUGGUGCAUGGCUGUCGUCAGCUCGUGUCGUGAGAUGUUGGGUUAAGUCCCGCAACGAGCGCAACCCUCGUCCUUAGUUGCCAGCAUUAAGUUGGGCACUCUAGGGAGACUGCCCGGUGACAAACCGGAGGAAGGUGAGGAUGACGUCAAGUCAGCAUGCCCCUUAUGCUCUGGGCAACACACGUCCAACAAUGGUCGGGACAAAGGGGAGCGAGCUCGCGAGAGUAAGCGA
rnacentral:rRNA from 1 species